AUAUGAGCCCUACAUGACAACCUGCAACUUAACUUAAUAGGGAAACCAACUGAAAACCUGACUUAGGAAUUUGCCUUUGUAACAAAUAGCUGAGUCUCGGCCAAUCACGGCAGCAGAGCUUCAGUCAAUCACAGGUGGCCAGCUAUUCAAACCAGGUUCAACAGGCAAAUACCAAGCUUUAACUGGCUGAGCCGUCUGUAUCCCUCCUUCCAUCUUCUGUUCUUCAAUUACCUUUUUUUUUGCCUGUAAACAUUAACCAGCCAUGUGGCAGCCUCAGGAGUCUUUCAGAACCUGUUCUGGUUCUGAGGAUUGCCCGACGCACAAAUAGUUCUUUGCUCAAUUAAAUGCUGUUACAUUUAAUUUGUCUAAAGCUUUUCUUUUAACAGAUGUUUAUAAGAUAGGUGUUCAUAAGCAAGAGAAUGUAACUCUAUUUGCCUUUAAAUACUUGUUAUGAAGAAGUUAUAUUUGCAAAGUUCUAAGAAAGCUGCAAUCACUUGCUGUUGCCGGAAACUGCCUUGUGGCCUGGCGUCCUGGGAAUUUGCUUGGCUUUUUGUGGCCGCCAUCCAAAACUGGGAACCACAAGUCAAAGAUGCUGGGAAAUGCCAUCAAUCCAGAAGAGAAAUGCAGCCGCGUGAUGCCUCACUCACCAGAAGGGAUUGCAGGGUGACCCUGUCUGAUUACCAGCCUCGACUUAGGAAAUACAGCCAAUGAUGAAAUUCAUGGCAGGCAAAUUCCCUGUUCAAGGUGGAGCAACAGCAUGAUGGAUGGGCCAGCAGUGAUGGAUAGCCCCUCUGAAUUUUGGUUCAUGGGUUUCCUCCAGCAAGGACUGAGUUGUCCCAGAGAUAACACUCUACCAGCGGCUGGGCUCUGGGCUGAAUGCUUGCUUAGGGAUAACACCCUCAUUACCCAGUAAAGCAAAUUAUUAUUGACAA